CGUCGAAGUAUUUUCCUCACAGGUUCGCACAAGGUCAGGGGUACACGACCAUUAGUAUUUCCGCUGCACCGUGUGACUUUCCCAACAUGCUAAUAUACCGAGAUUUGGUACAUAUUCUUUUUCUUUCUUUCUUUUUUGUCCAGAGUCAUUUGAUAGAGGAAUGCAUGCUGGACCUGUGGGGCUUUUUGGUGGUGGAGAGAGUGAAUUCUCUGUAGGCAUAAGAUAUGCUUUAGUCAAAAAGGGUCUUGGAGCCUUGAUCUAUUCAGGAAAAGGAAUAGUUUCAGGAAGUGAUUCAUCCUCCGAGUGGAACGAGCUUGAUCUUAAAACUUGUCCUUGAGACAUCAAUGCAAUUUCCAUGUCUUUAUGCAAUCUGAAACAUAUAAUUAUGUGUUUCUCAGUUCACUAAAUCACUUGAACA